rnacentral:ncRNA from 1 species
GAAAAUAUGAAAGUCAUAUAUGCUUAAAAAUAUGGUUUAAGCGUUUCUACCAAUUCACCAUAAAUGAAUGGACUAUGACCUCACGUAA